rnacentral:misc_RNA from 1 species
GAUGAAGAACGCAGCGAAAUGCGAUACGUAAUGUGAAUUGCAAAUUCAGUGAAUCAUCGAGUCUUUGAACGCACAUUGCGCCCCCUGGUAUUCUGGCGGGCAUGCCUGUUCGAGCGUCAUUUCAACCAUCAAGCCCCAGGCUUGUGUUGGGGACCUGCGGCUGCCGCAGGCCCUGAAAACCAGUGGCGGGCUCGCUGUCACACCGGGCGUAGUAGAUUUUAUCUCGCUCAGGGCGUGCUGCGGGUUCCGGCCGUUAAAAAGCCUUUUUUACCCAAGGUUGACCUCGGAUCAGGUAGGAAGACCCGCUGAACUUAAGCAUAUCAAUAAGCGGAGGA